GCAAGUCGUACGAGAGUUUUUAACUCAAGUGGCGGACGGGUGAGUAACACGUGAGAAUUUGCCUCUAGGAGGGGGAUAACAACUGGAAACGGUUGCUAAUACCCCAUAUGCUUUCGAGUGAAAUGGAUUUCCGCCUAGAGAGAAGCUUGCGGCUGAUUAGCUUGUUGGUGAGGUAAUGGCUCACCAAGGCGACGAUCAGUAUCUGGUUUGAGAGGACGAUCAGACACACUGGAACUGAGACACGGUCCAGACUCCUACGGGAGGCAGCAGUGGGGAAUUUUCCGCAAUGGGCGAAAGCCUGACGGAGCAAUACCGCGUGAGGGAUGACGGCCUAUGGGUUGUAAACCUCCUUUUUCAGGGAGGAAUCAAUGACGUGUACCUGAAGAAUAAGCAUCGGCUAACUCCGUGCCAGCAGCCGCGGUAAGACGGAGGAUGCAAGUGUUAUCCGGAAUCACUGGGCGUAAAGCGUCUGUGGGUGGUUUAAUAAGUCAACUGUUAAAUCUUGAGGCUCAACCUCAAAAUCGCAGUCGAAACUAUUAGACUAGAGUAUAGUAGGGGUAAAGGGAAUUUCCAGUGGAGCGGUGAAAUGCGUAGAUAUUGGAAGGAACACCGAUGGCGAAGCACUUUACUGGGCUAUUACUAACGCUCAGAGACGAAAGCUAGGGUAGCAAAUGGGAUUAGAUACCCCAGUAGUCCUAGCUGUAAACAAUGGAUACUAGAUGU
rnacentral:rRNA from 1 species